AGUCGAGCGGUAGAGAGAAGCUUGCUUCUCUUGAGAGCGGCGGACGGGUGAGUAAUGCCUAGGAAUCUGCCUGGUAGUGGGGGAUAACGUUCGGAAACGGACGCUAAUACCGCAUACGUCCUACGGGAGAAAGCAGGGGACCUUCGGGCCUUGCGCUAUCAGAUGAGCCUAGGUCGGAUUAGCUAGUUGGUGGGGUAAUGGCUCACCAAGGCGACGAUCCGUAACUGGUCUGAGGGGAUGAUCAGUCACACUGGAACUGAGACACGGUCCAGACUCCUACGGGAGGCAGCAGUGGGGAAUAUUGGACAAUGGGCGAAAGCCUGAUCCAGCCAUGCCGCGUGUGUGAAGAAGGUCUUCGGAUUGUAAAGCACUUUAAGUUGGGAGGAAGGGCAGUAAAUUAAUACUUUGCUGUUUUGACGUUACCGACAGAAUAAGCACCGGCUAACUCUGUGCCAGCAGCCGCGGUAAUACAGAGGGUGCAAGCGUUAAUCGGAAUUACUGGGCGUAAAGCGCGCGUAGGUGGUUCGUUAAGUUGGAUGUGAAAUCCCCGGGCCCAACCUGGGAACUGCAUUCAAAACUGACGAGCUAGAGUAUGGUAGAGGGUGGUGGAAUUUCCUGUGUAGCGGUGAAAUGCGUAGAUAUAGGAAGGAACACCAGUGGCGAAGGCGACCACCUGGACUGAUACUGACACUGAGGUGCGAAAGCGUGGGGAGCAAACAGGAUUAGGUACCCUGGUAGUCCACGCCGUAAACGAUGUCAACUAGCCGUUGGGAGCCUUGAGCUCUUAGUGGCGCAGCUAACGCAUUAAGUUGACCGCCUGGGGAGUACGGCCGCAAGGUUAAAACUCAAAUGAAUUGACAGGGGCCCGCACAAGCGGUGGAGCAUGUGGUUUAAUUCGAAGCAACGCGAAGAACCUUACCAGGCCUUGACAUCCAAUGAACUUUCUAGAGAUAGAUUGGUGCCUUCGGGAACAUUGAGACAGUGCUGCAU
rnacentral:rRNA from 1 species